rnacentral:rRNA from 1 species
CCUACGGGAGGCAGCAGUGGGGAAUAUUGGACAAUGGGGGCAACCCUGAUCCAGCCAUGCCGCGUGUGUGAAGAAGGCCUUCGGGUUGUAAAGCACUUUAAGCGGGGAGGAAGGGCUUUGGGUUAAUAACCUGGAGCAUUGACGUUACCCGCAGAAUAAGCACCGGCUAACUCUGUGCCAGCAGCCGCGGUAAUACAGAGGGUGCAAGCGUUAAUCGGAAUUACUGGGCGUAAAGCGCGCGUAGGCGGUUGUGCAAGUUGGAGGUGAAAUCCCCGGGCUUAACCUGGGCACUGCCUUCAAAACUGCACGGCUAGAGUAUGGGAGAGGAAGGUAGAAUUCCAGGUGUAGCGGUGAAAUGCGUAGAGAUCUGGAGGAAUACCGAUGGCGAAGGCAGCCUUCUGGCCUAAUACUGACGCUGAGGUGCGAAAGCACGGGGAGCAAACAGGAUUAGAUACCCUGGUAGUCCAUGCCGUAAACGAUGUCAACUAGUUGUUGGGAGACUUGAUCUCUUAGUGACGCAGCACGACAUUAAGUUAGUACCGCCGUCGGGUAGGUACGGUCGCGAGAACGUAAACGUACGAAAGAAAGUUAAACGUACGUAGAGACGUAGCCGACGGACGACGACGAGGGAGGAGGAG